rnacentral:rRNA from 1 species
UACGAAGGGGGCUAGCGUUGCUCGGAAUCACUGGGGCGUAAAGGGUGCGUAGGCGGGUCUUUAAGUCAGGGGUGAAAUCCUGGAGCUCAACUCCAGAACUGCCUUUGAUACUGAAGAUCUUGAGUUCGGGAGAGGUGAGUGGAACUGCGAGUGUAGAGGUGAAAUUCGUAGAUAUUCGCAAGAACACCAGUGGCGAAGGCGGCUCACUGGCCCGAUACUGACGCUGAGGCACGGAAAGCGUGGGGAGCAAACAGG